GGAUAGGGUAUUAACUAUCUGGGCAGCAGCAGCUAGUAGACUUUUUCCUCCAUCCAAGAGACUAAGCCAUUUAGUUCCCUAGUCUCCCAGCUACUGUAGAUGCUUACCUCUGCCUCUGAUAUUCGAUUCCUGGAAGUCUUAUUUUUCCAAGAGUUUGGUCUUCUCAGCUAUUUCCUAUAGAAGCAAAUUUCCUUUCACCAGGAAUGUGAGGUAUAGUCAGGUUCUCCUCUUCAGUUUCCCUCCAUUCAUCUCCUUUGAUACAGCUAGAAAGUUCUCAGCUCUUUCCCCAAGAAUCAUCAAAAGAGGGGAAAUCACAUAAAGACUGGGCAGAUGGUGGGUGCAGAUUUAGCCGAAGAGUUCAGAUCUUUGAGAAGGAGAUGCAUUCAUGACAACCAAGGUUUUUUGCUGUUGGAGACUGACUCCUAGGUGGGAGCAGCUGCUAUGGUCAUUACUCAGCUUCAACCCAAGGACCCAGAUGCCUGGUUAUUGCAGCAGCCAGUAAGGAGGAGAAGGGGAGAGAGCUCAUUCGAUAUUAACAACAUUGUCAUCCCAAUGUCUGUUGCUGCAACAACUCGCGUAGAGAAACUGCAAUACAAGGAAAUCCUUACUCCCAGCUGGCGGGAGGUUGAUCUUCAGUCUCUGAAGGGGAGUCCUGAUGAGGAGAAUGAGGAGAUUGAGGACCUAUCCGACGCAGCCUUCGCCGCCCUGCAUGCCAAAUGUGAGGAGAUGGAGAGGGCACGGUGGCUGUGGACCACGAGUGUGCCACCCCAGCGGCGGGGUAGCAGGUCCUACAGGUCAUCAGACGGCCGGACAACCCCCCAGCUGGGCAGUGCCAACCCCUCCACCCCCCAGCCUGCCUCCCCUGAUGUCAGCAGUAGCCACUCUUUGUCAGAAUACUC
rnacentral:sRNA from 1 species